AAUAUGUCCAGAGUGUAAAUACUUUCAAAAGUGUGCAGUGCUUUAGGAGCCAAAGUCCCAAUGACUUUCAGCAGAACUUGGAUGCCUCAGUCACUUAGGUGGUUUUGAAAAUUUUACUGACAGUGGCUGGGAGAAGGCUGGUGCUGGGAAUGGCUUUAUGAAUUUCCAGCCUUUCAGACAAUGAGGCUGAGAUUUUAAAAGCUGUCUCAGAAAUCUGGACGCCUGGCAAAUUCCUGUUUGAAAAACACCUUUUUACUUGUUAAAACUUUAUUUGCCAUAUAUAACAAUUUAUAGGUAAUUUUCAAAAAACCCUUAACUUCAAGCGAACAGUUUUUAUUCAGGGAUAGUUAUCUGUGAUGAAUAGUCCCUUAAAUGUAUAUUCACUAAGUGUCCCAAUUAAGCAAAGUACUUAAGAAUCUGCUUAAUUUCUUUGCUGAACUAAGCCCUAAAAACUUGUGUUCUUAAGAAUACAGAAAUGGCCAGUGCAAAUCAGAUCAGGGCCCACCUACCCUGGGAUUCUGUCUCUGACCUGCACUACCAGCUGCUUCAAAUGAUGACGUGAGAAACCCCUAGUGGCAAGUGAUGGGGGACCUGUAACCCCCUGCCCACCUGUCACAGGAAGGAGGGGGGGUGCGGGAUAUAGAGCUAUCUCAUGGAGCCAGGAAGCCCUGAUCUCUGGUCCAGGUUUCUCUGUACAGUAUCCGAUGUGUGUAAAAUAUUACAUGUAACAACAGGGACAAGAGAAGUUGGGUCAGUUUCCCCACAAGCAGCCAGCCCCUGUGCUGUGCUCUGCUUAGCAUCUUAAGGAAAAAAACUCUCAAGAACAGUCAUAACACCAGUGAGGGGGAUAUUACUUGUAUCUUGACUAUUGCACAUUAACUUUUGUGACUCAGGAUUAAUUCACAUUGUCUUACUUUCCAGUGGAACAUGAGGCAAUGGCAGAACAAACACGUGACAUAACCCAAAGAUUCACAGCCAAACACCAGGCUGAGAUCAGUAAGUUCCAUUCCCCCCAUUAUCACCCUUGUGUGACAUUGUUUCCUGUUCAGAGUGUCGGUGUUCACGGGCGUUCUCACCCCUCUGUCUGUGUUUAGUUACAGGGUGGAGAAGCGCACAGCUCUACACAGGUACUGUACAAGUCGCUGAUAUUUUAUCCAUGGGGAGAUCCACCUCCCCGUGGGAGCUCCUGGCUCCUUUCCCUACACAGAGCAUUUUCCUAUGACAUUCGAUAGGCUACGAACAGCUGUCUGGGUGUAUUUGCACCCAGCAUGCUGCCUGACCAUACGUAUGUACUGGUGAAGGCUGGGAGAGUCUGGGCAGCUCCAGCAGGGAUUAGAGACCCCAAGGGACAUGCACACACAUUGCAGCACCACUGGCCACGGCUCCAUGUACUCUGGGGUAUCCUGCCGCACACAGCUUCGAGGGAGGGGGGCACUCAGGUCAGUUACACAAACAGUGUUGGGGUCCUGUUGUGGUUGCCCCCUCUGAGGUGUAAAAAAUGGGACAUCUGCUUGCUCCACCUACACCCCCUGUCUCCUCACCCCGGGCACUGUGUCCCAUCCCACCCUGGGAGAGGAGACCAGCCCUCUCAGGCUUCUGUUCCUGUCACUGCCCUGGGCACCAGCCUCACAAAGCAGGGCCUGGCACCAGAUCCACCCCGUUACCAUCCGGCAGUUAAACGUCACGGUUGGUACUUCCACCGUGGUGACUGGGCCCUACCAGCUCCGAGCGCCUCAUCUCCCGCUUGCUGGUCCCAAGACAGUCUGAAGCUAGCGCUCCCUUUGAGCAGUCACUGCCACCCCACAGCUUCCCCCACUACAGCCACUGACAAACCCAGGACUUUUAACAUCCUGCACAGACUCAGAUUUCGCAGGACAGCGACCUGAACAAUGGGCUGAUCCUGUGAAAACCUGGACAGGUGGCAACCCUAGCUCCUGUCCACACAAGCCAGUAACACCCAGCUGAGCCGGUUACAGGCCCUGGCAGGGACGCUGAGCUACCAGCUGCUGUGAUCACUAAGAUUGUUAACUCCUCCGUGUGCCACACACCGUGCUUAGAACCGCCAGGGCCCUGGACCCAGCGCCAGAACAGCUGUAACCUAGACUCAUAGCAAUGCAGGGUUGGAAGGGACUUUGUGAGGUCACCUAAUCCAGCUCCCUGCACUGGGGCAGGGCCUAGACCAUCCCUGACAGGGGUUUGUCCAACCUGCUCUUACAAACCGCCAGUGCCAGGGAUCCCACAGGCUCCCUUGGAGCCGGUCCAGAGCUUCACCGCCCUGAGAGUGAGAAAAUGUUUCCUAAUCUCCAGCCUCAGUCUCCCUUGUUGAAGAUUCAGAGGGGCAGCCGUGUCAGUCUGUAUCCACAAAAACAACGAGGAGUUCGAUGGCACCUUAAAGACCAACCGAUUUAUUAGGGCAUAAGCUUUUGUGGGGAAAAAAAUCCACUUCUUCGUACUCCGUGCAGCUGAAGAAAUGGGAUUUUUUACCCACGGAAGUUGAUGCCAUAAUAAAUCUGUUGGUCUUUAAGGUGCCACCGAACUCCUUGUUGUUUUUCCUGAAGAUUGUGCCCCUUGGACAGGCCCUCACCCUGCCCGCUGGGGGCGCUCAGGGUGUUGCCAAGUGUGAGUAUUGUUGUUACCGCAUUGCGGGGGGAAGCUGGAUGGGCUGGUUUGGCAGGGGCCAGUGAUGGGAGCUUUCACUUUCCUGUCACCGAUCUCAGCCCAGCCCGAGGCCAGUUCUUAGUGGACAGGAGCUCACAUCAUAACUCACAUUAAUGGCAACCACAGGGAGACCAAGACCUGCAUGGGCCGCAGGGAGAGAGGUUCCAGCAGGGGUCAGAGCUGAGCCAUGUCAGCAGCACCGUGCGGGGCUCACACAGCCGCUGGGAUGUCCUCAGACCCCACUCAGUGCAUGGAGCUCCAGCUGCCAGGGUGUAAGUGCCACUUCUCGAGCCUACAUGUGGGGGGGGCCCUGCCCAGAUUGGCCUGCUGCAGGGAGAAGGGGGAGUUCCCUUCUCCCGCUGUGCCUGGCCCCAGCCCUGGCAGUGGGGAGCAGGA